rnacentral:misc_RNA from 1 species
UUGUAUAUCUAUGAAUGUAAAUCUCUCAGGUCCUCUCUGAAUGGCAAGUAUCCUGAUUCCCUUAAGACUCUUAAUAUUCGCAAUUGGACGACACAAUCAUUAAACUCCCUAUAUUAUGGGCUUUCUCAUCUCACAAUAUUACAAAUUUGGAAUUGUCCUCAANAUUUCCAGGGAUGGAAUUGCACAUCCCUACUCUUAUCUCUUUACAAAUUUGUGAUUGUGAAAGAUUGAGGUCUCUCUCCAGUCAUAUGCAAAACCUACAGUGCCUCCAAUAUUUACAAAUAUCCACCUGUCAUCAAUUAGAAUUGUUCCCAAAAAUGGGAUUGCCCAACCCA